GAUUUGGAGAGGACGUGUGUUCUUCUCAAUUCAAUUGCUUUGUUUUUCCAAAUUCUGGUUUGCAAGUUGAUUUAUGUUGCAAGUAAUCUCUUAGAAAGAAUUCAGGUAUCUUUCUGCUACUUAAUAAUGAUAUUAAAUUUAGGAGGAUGUUUGUGAGAACUUCUCACAGAAGGCUGUGAAUCAUUUAUCUGGAAAUGCAGAUAGAGGCAUAAAGAAAAUUCUAAGUGGAGCAGUGAAAGGUUUUCGUCGAAAAUGUCCUGAUUUGAAGGGAAUCCAUAACGUGGGAAAGUCUGCUUCUAACUAAGCAGUUGGAAUGAAGAAAAUACCAGAACUACAAUCAGGCCUGUGUUUGUGAAUAAACCAACCAUAAAGCCACCAGAGAAAGUUCCAGUUCACCUGUUUAAUAUUAUUUCAUCAAGUAAAUCAAAUAUGUUCCUUUCAGCAAAUCCUGUAUUUGUAAAGGUCUCUUAAGAAAUCAUUUAGGAAAAGUGACAAGGCUCAGGAAAUUAUAUCUUGAUACAGAGCACAUGCUCUCAAACAUCUCUCAAAGAAGUCCAAAGCAAAGGAAGAGCUGACAUAGAAAGACAAACGUUGGAGAAAAGUGUCAUUAC